CACGUGAGGGCGCAAGCGUUGUCCGGAAUAUUGGGCGUAAAAGAGCUCGUAGGCGGCCUGUUACGUCUGCUGUGAAAUCCCGGGGCUUAACCCCGGGCGUGCAGUGGAUACGGGCAGGCUGGAGGCAGGCAGGGGAGAACGGAAUUCCCGGUGUAGCGGUGAAAUGCGCAGAUAUCGGGAGGAACACCGGUGGCGAAGGCGGUUCUCUGGGCCUGUACUGACGCUGAGGAGCGAAAGCGUGGGGAGCGAAGCAGG
rnacentral:rRNA from 1 species